rnacentral:rRNA from 1 species
UACGGAGGGUGCAAGCGUUAUCCGGAAUCAUUGGGUUUAAAGGGUCCGCAGGCGGUCAAUUAAGUCAGAGGUGAAAUCCUUCCGCUUAACGGAAGAACUGCCUUUGAUACUGGUUGACUUGAGAGAUACGGAAGUAGAUAGAAUGUGUAGUGUAGCGGUGAAAUGCAUAGAUAUUACACAGAAUACCGAUUGCGAAGGCAGUCUACUACGUAUCUACUGACGCUCAUGGACGAAAGCGUGGGGAGCGAACAGG